rnacentral:rRNA from 1 species
UACGGAGGGUGCAAGCGUUAAUCGGAAUUACUGGGCGUAAAGCGCACGCAGGUGGCUGAGUCAGUCGAUUGUGAAAGCCCUGGGCUUAACCUGGGAAUUGCAUUGGAAACUGGCGGGCUUGAGUGCGGCAGAGGGGGGUGGAAUUCCGCGUGUAGCAGUGAAAUGCGUAGAGAUGCGGAGGAGCACCGAUGGCGAAGGCAGCCCCCUGGGUCGACACUGACGCUCAGGCACGAAAGCGUGGGGAGCAAACAGG